rnacentral:lncRNA from 1 species
AUGACUUCUACUACUUGUUGAACUUAUCAAAUUCAAUAAGGUUUUUCAAAUCCAUACUUGUUGAACUUGCAUACCGUGUUCAUAUCGGCGAGAAUCUUCUCCGCCAAGCAGCAACGUAUGUUAAGAAGGAGGUUCGAUUCUAUGAGAAAGAGUGGAUACAAACAUCGUGACCGUGUCCCCUUUUCCGUAGCAUCUAACCUCUUUCAUGACGAAGUGCGGUGCCGCCCAGUUGAGAACAUGCUCGCGAGAUGAUCACGGUCUUCAAGUUCAACAACUUCUGUAGUGGUAAGGAAACAAUUUUUGUACAUAGAUGACUUCUGCUACUUGUUGAACUUAUCAAAUUCAAUAAGGUUUUUUCAAAUCCAUACUUGUUGAACUUGCAUACCGUGGUCAUCUCGCAUAGGAUAUUCUCCGCCGAGCAGCAACGUAUGUAAAGAAGGAGGUUUGAUUCUACGAGAAAGAGUGGAUACGGACAUCGUGACCGUGUCCCCUUUUCCGUAGCAUCUAACCUCUUUCAUGACGAAGUGCGGUGCCGUCCAGUUGAGAACAUGCUCGCGAGAUGAUCACGGUCUUCAAGUUCAACAACUUAUGCAGUGUUAAGGUAAUAAUUUUUGUACAUAAAUGGCUUCUGCUACUGGAGAAAGUGGCGAUGGUGGGGGCGAUCGUGGUUCCUAUUUCGGCAAGGGGAAAAUCAUAGUUGGCCCUCAGCAUAAGCCGAAAAAAAAGAGUGUGCUGGAAAAAGCAAUGCUUCGUUAUUUCCAGCAACGUCAUGAAGAAGCUGUUGCCGCGGGUCAGGAACCUCCUUUUGGUGGUCGUUAUGCUCCAACCUCAGUCUCGGGUGUUUCACGUCCACUUAGUACUACCGUUUCAGGCGGCACAAAUAAACCUAAGGAUGAGGUUGGGUCAGCGGAACCUUCGUCUUCACCGUCCAAGGAUGCUUAAAGUCCUCCUAGAUAAUAACCAGUGGAUGGCUUGUUGUAUUGUAUCAUGUUGUUUGGAACUUUAAUUUAAAUAUGUGUAUUUGGAUCUUCAUGUUGUUGUAUUGUACCAUGUUGUUUGGAUCUUUAAUCGAUUUUCACGCGUAAUCCAUUGUAAAGUGUAAUCCAUUUUCAUGCGUAAUACGAUGCAAAUGGACCGGCAAUGGAUGUAUAAUACA